CAUUCUGGAAGAAAUUACCGAAGUGGAACUUUUCAGCAUUUUCAUAAAGAAAGCUUUGUUUCUCGUUUGAAGGUGCUCUUUGUGAUCUGUUGCCAGGUCAUCAGUUCACGAGGGUGGGAGUUUCCUUACGACGUUUAAUAAGCGAAGGACAGACCUUCUGCAAAGACACCCAUUACCCACACGUCAGCUUUCAGGGAAGUUUUCACAAUGCCAGUCUGAGAUGCCACACUGGAAAUGGUUCUCAGCAGCUUCCCAACUACAUGUAAAAGGAGAAUGAAGCUUUUAGGCAACAUAUAUUCACUUUUCUU
rnacentral:lncRNA from 1 species